UGCCUAAUACAUGCAAGUCGAGCGAAUGGAUUAAGAGCUUGCUCUUAUGACGUUAGCGGCGGACGGGUGAGUAACACGUGGGUAACCUGCCCAUAAGACUGGGAUAACUCCGGGAAACCGGGGCUAAUACCGGAUAACAUUUUGAACCGCAUGGUUCAAAAUUGAAAGGCGGCUUCGGCUGUCACUUAUGGAUGGACCCCCCUCCCAUUACCUAUUUGGUGAGGUAACGGCUCACCAAGGCAACAAUCCGUACCCAACCUGAAAGGGUGAUCGGCCACACGGGGACUGAAACCCGGCCCAAACCCCUACGGGAGGCACCAUUAGGGAAUCUUCCCCAAGGGACAAAAGUCUGACGGACCACCCCCCCGUGAUUGAUGAAGGCUUUCGGGUCGUAAAACUCUUUUGUUAGGGAAAAACAAUUGCUAAUUGAAUAAGCUGGCCCCUUGACGGUCCCUAACCAAAAACCCACGGCAAACUACGUGCCACCACCCGCGGUAAUACUUAGGUGGCAAGCUUUAUCCGAAAUUAUUGGGCGUAAAGCGCGCGCAGGUGUUUUCUUAAGUCUGAUGUGAAACCCCACGGCUCACCCGUGGAGGGUCUUUGGAAACUGGGAAACUUGAGUGCAAAAGAGGAGAGUGAAAUUCCAUGUGUAGCGG
rnacentral:rRNA from 1 species